UUUCCGUAGGUGAACCUGCGGAAGGAUCAUUGUCGGAACCUGCCCAGCAGAACGACCCGCGAACUUGUAUAAACAACUGGGGGCGGGGGGCGUUCUCGCCCCGUGCCCCCGAACGGCGGGGAGACACUCGUGCCUUCUUGCCGAACAACGAACCCCGGCGCGGUCUGCGCCAAGGAACUUCAACUAAAGAGUGCCUCCGGUCGCCUCGGAAACGGCGUGCGUGCCGGAGGCGAAUCUUGUGCAAAACCAUAACGACUCUCGGCAACGGAUAUCUCGGCUCUCGCAUCGAUGAAGAACACAGC
rnacentral:misc_RNA from 1 species